rnacentral:rRNA from 1 species
UUAUAUGGUCAAGAAGAGAAGCGCAAACGGUGGAUGCCUUGGCAGUAAGAGGCGAAGAAGGACGUGGAAUCCUGCGAAAAGCUAUGGGGAGCUGGAAACGAGCGUUGAGCCAUAGAUGUCCGAAUGGGGGAACCCGGCUGCAGCGAUGCGGUCAUUUGCAUUUGAAUACAUAGGAUGCAAAGGCGAACUCGGGGAACUGAAACAUCUAAGUACCCGAAGGAAAAGAAAUCAAGAGAGAUUCUCCAAGUAGCGGCGAGCGAACGGGGAGGAGCCUGGCGUGAUUUAUUAUUGAACUGAGUAGAACAAUUUGGGAAAGUUGGCCGUAGAGGGUGAAAGCCCCGUAUACGAAGGUUUGAUGAGGAACUAGGCACGCGAGCAAGUAGGCCGGGACACGUGAAAUCCUGGUUGAAGAUGGGUGGACCAUCAUCCAAGGCUAAAUACUACUUACUGACCGAUAGUGAACCAGUACCGUGAGGGAAAGGUGAAAAGAACCCCGGAGAGGGGAGUGAAAUAGAAUCUGAAACCGUUUGCGUACAAGCAGUGGGAGCAUGGUUUAGGCUGUGUGACUGCGUACCUUUUGUAUAAUGGGUCAGCGAGUUACUUUCAGUGGCGAGGUUA